CCCCUUCCUCAGCAGAGGCGACGGAGGACGUACGACAUGACGAAAGUUCGCCGCAGCGCGCGCCUUGCCAAUCGUCCGGCAAUGCCGGCCCUAAAGCGGGCCCAAAUCAUCCUCUGCCAACGGCUUGGGCUCACUGCAGAGGAGACUAAUCACAACUCGGUAGAGCAGGCUCUGAAGAAGUACGUCGCCAUGUUCAACACUGCUCUGCCCGAACCUGUCACCGCCGCUCUUACCAGCUUGCUGGGAAUCGACGACGAGCAUACGGAACAACUUGAUGAGGCAUUGAUCGGCUUGGUGGGGCAGGGGAUCGACGGCAUCAAUCCAAUGGAAGGCGUCCCAGCCGCAGGGGGGG
rnacentral:misc_RNA from 1 species